UCAAGAAAUGUCAGCUGUUACUAAAGAUUGGUGUUUCCCGAGGCUUAGAGGGCCCUAAGUCUCACCCCUGCCCUCUCCCAGCUCUUUCACUUUCCCUAUUCUCCACUGCCCUCUGCCCUCCGGCAAAACUCCCUGUAGCCACAGGGCCUUUGCACAGCUGCCUGGAACCCUCUCCACUCCCCCGCUGGCCUGGUUAACCCCUACUUGUUACCCUUAGCCUUCCCCAAUCUGUCCCCUCUCCUCAACUCCACGGUCAGAUGCCUGGGCAAACCCUCUCAUCAUGUUGGGUAACGUCCCCCAGAUCUCAUUUCUGAUUUGAAAUAACGGAUUGAUCUGUACCACGAAUAGAGCUGUUAGCUGCGGGAUGGAAGGGACAUCGUUUGUUCUCCCCCUGUGUCUCCCCAGAGCCCAGAGCCGCCCCCGACACAUAAAAUGCUCAAUCCCUAUUUACUGACAGAAUGAAUAAGUGAUCUUUCUCCUUGGGUCUGAGGGCACGGCGGAGCUUGUGAAGUCCCUGCAUCCUGUUUCUCAACAGAGCAGUCCGAUUAGCUUGAGGUCACUGGUGAGUUUUAUGAGUGCCCCACAACCCCUGAUGCAAUUCUGGGAAGCGGGGGCUGUGUCCUCGGGGCACUUUCCCACGGUGCGCCGGGGUAGGAGGAAGUUGCUCACAGAACCCUCCUCCGUCGUGGCCCAGAAAGACCUUUGCACGAUGGGUGGAUGCUUCUAGCAGGGACGUCAGAGAGGACGUGUGGGCGCUGACUGGGAAUGAGGGAGGAGAGGAAGGCCCGGUCCCUUCGCGUCCUUCUUCCGCAGGCAGAGGGGCCCGCGGUCAGUCCUGCCGUUUCCAGCGGACCCGAUAAUCAUAACAGGAACAGAAACCCUGGAGACCCGUCUGCUGAGCGGUUUUUAUGCGCCCAGCGCGGUGCCUGGCCCACAGGAGGGCCCAACAGUGAAUGAAGCGAGUGAGCGUUCCGUGAAGCACAUGUCACCCAGACUUUCCUUCUGUCCCCAGAACAAUCUCGCGAGGGAGCCACCAGAGGAAGCCCUCUGCCUUCCUCGGAAUGGGCCCAUGAGAGGGCUUGUACAGAAGUUGAAAGAUGGAUUACCAUCUGCCACGCGUUAGGCUCCGUUCUAGGGGUUAGAGAUGUAGCGGAGAACGAAAAUCUGCGUUCACGAAGUUGGCACGCACUCCUUCCUACCUGUUUGCUUAUUGAACGCCAGGCCACUGUCUCAAGUGAACGGGGGACAUCUGAUUACCCUCUUUGGCAGAAGAGGAAAGAGGGGGAAACCGAGUCACGGAGACGUCGGUGUCCGCUUUGGGACAGGAAGGCAUGAGGUGGGGCUUCCAACCCCGUUCGCCUGCCUCUAAAGCCUGAGCCUGUAAGACCUCACGGGGCACUGCUUGUGGCCGGUCUGUGACUCGUUCAUUCGCCGAACAGAAGUUCAGAGGUGAGCAGUCAAGACUGAGCUUGAUGUUCUGCCAUGGAUGCUUCCACUCCCAAAGCGACCUCUUGGCCCAACAUGGCUGCCUUGGGUCAAGCCAUCAUCCCCUCGUUCCAGCCAGCUUAAAAGCGAAGGUGUUUUGCCUUAUAUCCCUUUGGCCAGAACUCAAAACUUAAUUACAUGGUCACACCUUGGUCUGAGGAAGUUGAGAGCCGUAGCUAAGGAGGGCAACUGACCAUGUAUUCUAUGCACUGUGAGCUCCCCUGACUGUGUCCGCCUCCGCUCUGAGCCCUAGCACAUCCCCUGCAGCGGCAGAAACCUAUGAUUUCCACCCGUGUAGCAUACGUUCCCCUUAUCCAGUAACAUUACUCCUAUGUUGCUUUAGAGAAGCACCCCUCUCCCAAGGGUUGAUUGCCAAUCAAAGUGCCCUCCUUCCCUAGUCGUGGGCUGAGUGUGAUAGCCAGGAAAAUGAGUGGGGCUCUCCGGAAAACCGAAGCCUUGAGUGGGAUGACGCAAAGAAUAAAUGGGUUUGGAGCUGAUUUGUGCAGACCACAGUGCCUUGAAGAGUGCCACCCUGCUCCUGGCCACAGUGCCCGGCUUCUCGUCUUUCCGGAGCCCUUUCUUCAGUGCUUGUGAGCUACCCAGGAAUCUUCCAAGAGUGUCCUGUUUUGCUUACGUCAUCCAGAGUUGGCAUUUGUUGCUUCCAAUGGAGAAAAUCCUAAAGGAAUACUCUUGUGUCAUCAGCGCUAAGGGUGGAUGAAUGGAAUCGAUCAGUACGAGUCGUGAAGCACACUCCGUACCGGCCUCAGAAAAUGGUCAUGUUGGACUUGGAUCAGGACAAUGGAUGGUUUAUGUGACACAAGGCGCCAUUUAAAGAGGAGGGAGCCACUGAGCUCAUGGGGUUUUAGAUGUCACAAUCCCCAAGUCCCCCGGCUUAGGAGGGUCUCAUGUUUUACUUGUCAGAUUCGUAAAUCUGAGAUCAAGAAGGUAAAAAAGACUCGGUCUAUUCCCUGGAGACUCAGGGCAAAUAUUCCCCUGCUGUGGAUUAUUUAUCUUUGGAUGAUAUUCUGUCUGGACACGUGGCAAACGUUGACGCCUACUAGUAAACAGGCUUCUUUCUGGACCAUCAGAAUCAUCUUCGAAAGCAAGACCGUCAGGCAAACCUAUUAAAAAAUGAAACACUCGGGGCGCCUGGGUGGCUCAGUCGGUUGAGCGUCCGACUUCAGCUCAGGUCA